rnacentral:rRNA from 1 species
GAUGAACGCUGGCGGCGUGCCUAAUACAUGCAAGUCGAGCGAACAGACGAGGAGCUUGCUCCUCUGACGUUAGCGGCGGACGGGUGAGUAACACGUGGAUAACCUACCUAUAAGACUGGGAUAACUUCGGGAAACCGGAGCUAAUACCGGAUAAUAUAUUGAACCGCAUGGUUCAAUAGUGAAAGACGGUUUUGCUGUCACUUAUAGAUGGAUCCGCGCCGCAUUAGCUAGUUGGCAAGGUAACGGCUUACCAAGGCAACGAUGCGUAGCCGACAUGAGAGGGUGAGCGGCCGCACUGGAACUGAGACACGGUCCAGACUCCUACGGGAGGCAGCAGUAGGGAAUCUUCCGCAAUGGGCGAAAGCCUGACGGAGCAACGCCGCGUGAGUGAUGAAGGUCUUCGGAUCGUAAAACUCUGUUAUUAGGGAAGAACAAAUGUGUAAGUAACUAUGCACGUCUUGACGGUACCUAAUCAGAAAGCCACGGCUAACUACGUG